GUGGAUUCGUGGCUAAUUUUGGGAACUGGUGUUUUACGAGGUUAGUUCAUUUCGAGCGCGGGGGUUGUGCCUUCAAUAGAGGAUGUGCUGAGGAGGGAGAGAGUGGUCCACGAGCUCGACAAGAUAGUGAUGGAUUGGGCAAAGAGGGUGGCGUACGAGCAGGGGGAACAGCAUUGGAUCACACCAAGCAUAUGGAACUGAAUCUGAUAUUGAUGCUCUUUGUGUUGGUCCCUAUAUUGCGUCACUGCAACAUCAUUUUUUCGUUGUUCUGCAACAAAUGCUUGAAGGAAGGCCAGAAGUAUCAGAAUUGCAUUCCAUUGAUGGCGCUAAGGUUCCAUUGAUUCGUUUUAAAUUCAAUGGGAUUUUAGUUGAUUUUCCUUAUGUGCGACUCCCAGUGAUCAAUGCUGCAGAGGUAAGCAUCGUGGUCUUUUGAUUAGUGUUUGUUUACUACCUUAUAUUAUAUGUGUUGCAUUUGUUCAUUCCAUGAAUAUAUUUUUGCAUUUCAGGUUUUCUUGAAAUACCUUUCUGUCUAACUAUCCUAUAACAUCAUGCUUUCAUUUUGGUCGUGCUGUACCUUGAUAAGUUAUUUUACUUGCUACAUCUUUUGCAGCAUUUAGUGAGGCAUACAUAAUGUCUCUUGAAAGCAACGCCUAAUUGUGAACUAGAUUUCCCUCCAAGAAAUUUCAGUCCAGCAACUUAAUGUGUUGUACAUUUAUUUCAACAAGGUUUUUGGUCUUGCACGUAAAUGAGUUAAAGCAUUCUAGUAUUUGUGAAGACUGAUAUCUUUGAUAUCCUUAUGCAUUGGACAAGAUCUGUUUGCCUCUCUGUUCUCCAGAUUGCAACACAGACAUGGUUAUAUGUCUGCAGUAAAAUCCUACCUAUCCAGGCUAGCAGAUAGAGGUCAUUGCUGAAAGCCUUUUAACCAAUAAGAUAUCUGAGUCUUAUUUGGUAAAUUUUUGCUCAUGCAAAUCUGAUAAGGGUAUCAUGUCCCGUCUGUCCUUAUUGGCUGUUGCUUAGUAGUUUUUCCUGAUCCAUUCACUAGUGAAAUUGUUGCUCAUGCAAAUCCUACCUAUUCUGUCUCAUGCAUCCAUUUUUUAUGAUCUGAUAUACAACCGGAAGUAAUCUAGAAUACUACUCCCUCUGAUUCUAAAUGUAAGUAGUUUUGGACUUUACUGUUUUUAUUUGAGUUCAAUUUUUGUCUAUGGGAUUUUCAUAGCUGGCAUAUGUUACUGCAAGACAGGCUUGUUCAGUUGCUCUUAUUUUACGCGUCUGUUCAUCAUCAUGUUCUAUUAGUGCUGUUAUUUGUGCUGUCACUUAUGCAACUCCAUUUUUUAGUAUUUUAAGCUUGCCUAAAUAUAUAUUAGAGUGUUAAGUAAGCUUAUGGCCUAAACAGUGCUGCUGUGGCGGUUAUAACGGUUGGGAAAAAAUCAGUUUAAUAUAGUGGAGAGAAGAUAGUGGAUGAGAUAUAGAGUAGCUGCUGGAGAUGGGUGAAAUGAGGGAUACUGUAAUA